rnacentral:rRNA from 1 species
GACGAACGCUGGCGGUGUGCUUAACACAUGCAAGUGGUGCGACGAACCAGAGCUUGCUCUGGGGCAAAGCCGCGAACGGGUGAGUAACACGUGGGUAAUCUACCCCGAUGACCGGGACAACCCGAGGAAACUCGGGCUAAUACCGGAUGUGGUGCGGAGACAUAAGUCUCUUCCCUAAAGGUAGCUUCGGCUUCCGCAUUGGGAGGGGCCCGCGGCCCAUUAGCUUGUUGGUGGGGUCAAGGCCUACCAAGGCAACGAUGGGUAGCUGGUCUGAGAGGACGAUCGGCCACACUGGAACUGAGACACGGCCCAGACUCCUACGGGAGGCAGCAGUGGGGAAUCUUGCGCAAUGGGCGAAAGCGUGACGCAGCAACACCGCGUGAGGGAAGAAGGCCUUAGGGUUGUAAAACUCUUUCAGAUGGGACGAAGGUUUGUCGGUGAAUAGCCGAGAGGAUUGACGGUACCGUCAGAAGAAGCCCCGGCUAACUACGUG